rnacentral:rRNA from 1 species
CCUACGGGGGGCAGCAGUGGGGGAUAUUGGACAAUGGGGGCAACCCUGAUCCAGCGACGCCGCGUGAGUGAAGAAGUAUUUCGGUAUGUAACGCUCUGUCAGCAGGGAAUAAAGAAAUGACGGUACCUGACCAAGACGCCCCGGCUAACUACGUGCCAGCAGCCGCGGUACUACGUAGGGGGCAAGCGUUAUCCGGAAUUACUGGGUGUAAAGGGAGCGUAGACGGUGAUGCAAGUCUGGAGGGAAAGGCGGGGGCCCAACCCCCGGACUGCUCUGGAAACUGUGUAACUUGAGUGCAGGAGAGGUAAGCAGAAUUCCUAGUGUAGCGGUGAAAUGCGUAGAUAUGAGGAGGAACACCAGGGGCGAAGGCGGCUUACUGGACUGUAACUGACGUUGAGGUUCGAAAGCGUGGGGAGCAAACAGGAUUAGAUACCCUUGUAGUC